UCACCAGCACCCACAGCCCCAGCACCCGCAGUCUCCUGUCUCUGCCAUGAGCGUCCCCCUCCUGUGCUGGGGGGUCUGGGGUCUCCUGCAGGCAGGUGUGGUGAAGGCUGGGGUCUUUCAGAACCCCAGAUUCCAGAUCCUGAGGACAGAACAGAGCAGGAACCUGAGUUGUGACCAGGAUAUGAACCACGACUACAUGUACUGGUAUUGCCAGGACCCAGGACUCGGGCUGAAGCUGAUCCACUACUCACGUGGUUCUGGUACCGUAUACAAGGGAGACAUCCACGAGGGGUAUGACGCCUCCAGAGAAAAGAACAACUUCCUUCUUGAGCUGAAGUCUGCCAACACCUCCCAGACAGCUGUGUACUUCUGUGCCACCAGCUAUGCACAGUGCUGCAGGCUCACCUCCCCUCUGCACAAGAAGGCGGGGGCCCUGCACCCCGGGACUCAUCAGAGCUCUUGUACACUGUCAGCACAGGGAGCCCUGGAGUCCUGUGACUAAUGGCUUGGUCUGAAAGUAAAGAAGAAAGA